AGCGGCGGAUGGGUGAGUAACACGUGGGGAACCUGCCCCUAAGCCUGGGAUACCAUUUGGAAACAGGUGCUAAUACCGGAUAAUAAAGCAGAUCGCAUGAUCAGCUUUUGAAAGGCGGCGUAAGCUGUCGCUAAGGGAUGGCCCCGCGGUGCAUUAGCUAGUUGGUAAGGUAACGGCUUACCAAGGCGACGAUGCAUAGCCGAGUUGAGAGACUGAUCGGCCACAUUGGGACUGAGACACGGCCCAAACUCCUACGGGAGGCAGCAGUAGGGAAUCUUCCACAAUGGACGCAAGUCUGAUGGAGCAACGCCGCGUGAGCGAAGAAGGUUUUCGGAUCGUAAAGCUCUGUUGUUGGUGAAGAAGGAUAGAGGUAGUAACUGGCCUUUAUUUGACGGUAAUCAACCAGAAAGUCACGGCUAACUACGUGCCAGCAGCCGCGGUAAUACGUAGGUGGCAAGCGUUGUCCGGAUUUAUUGGGCGUAAAGCGAGCGCAGGCGGAAAAAUAAGUCUAAUGUGAAAGCCCUCGGCUUAACCGAGGAACUGCAUCGGAAACUGUUUUUCUUGAGUGCAGAAGAGGAGAGUGGAACUCCAUGUGUAGCGGUGGAAUGCGUAGAUAUAUGGAAGAACACCAGUGGCGAAAGCGGCUCUCUGGUCUGCAACUGACGCUGAGGCUCGAAAGCAUGGGUAGCGAACAGGAUUAGAUACCCUGGGUAGUCCAUGCCGUAACGAUGAGUGCUAAGUGU
rnacentral:rRNA from 1 species